rnacentral:lncRNA from 1 species
GGUAACGUGUUGGAAUGACUUCUAACCUGAUGUCUUCCAAAGACGUGGAUUAAUGGAUUAUUACACAAUUCAACAUUAUAGAAGCUACAUGCCUGAUGAGAUUUGCAACAUUAAUUACAGAACAGAACUAAUGACAAGUAGAAAAUCACCAGGCAGUAUGUGCAAAUCUGAUAAAAACGGGAAAAGAAAAAUCAGACCAGGAUCAAGAAUACACAAGAAGGGAUCCACUAUGAUACAUACAGGUAAUAUAAUCAAGGUUAAUACUAACCAAAAUUAAGCUAUUUAAUUAUUAUUUUUCAUACAGAAAAAAAAACACCCUUCGUGGUCAAAAAACGUCAGAUAAACCCUAGUAGGCACAAAUUCUUGUCUUAGGAGCUUAUGGGGUUACAUUUAUGAUUGCUAAUCUUCCUCAGUUUGUUGGCACCAUGCUGGACAGGAGGAACUGACAGAUGGCUCUAAGAGGGCAAUUUCUAAAGGGUUUAGAUUAGAGGAUUAGGGCCUGAGCAACCUGCUGAAGGAGGGAAGAAUCUGGAGGGGAACCAACAGUUGCUCCAAUGUGAAUACCAACUGCAGUUACAGCAGCUUUUUAAACAGUUGUUUUAAUUACAAAUCAUUUUUGGAUACACACUUGGUGUCCUUUCUAAUUACUCAGCAAGAGGUACAAGAAACACGGUGGUAAAGGUCAAGCUAAAGAGACUCCAAGCAUGAAAAAAACUGUGAUUAGCAUGAAAACAAAACAGAACGAAGCAGGCAGCUUAGAGCUCAAUUUCUAGAAAACAACAACAACAACAACAACAAAAAAACUGUACAGGCGUGGAAGCGAACACCAAGUCUGUAUUGAGAGCUGCCUAUAGGGAAUAGAGAUGAAAAAAUGAAGGCAAAGCUUUUUGAACUAUCUUACUGGGGAAAAAAAAAAAAAAAAAAAAAAAAAGGAAAGAAAGAAAGAAGUGAUGCCACCUCCAGGAAUAAUGCCUGCAGCACUGGGACACUCACGAGUGGCUGAUGAAUACUAAAGCCCAUGAAAGACCGAGACUGUAAAGAAAUAAAAGCCAGAAGUAGAAGAAGGAAUAAAUCCA